UACGGAGGGGACUAGCGUUGUUCGGAAUUACUGGGCGUAAAGCGCAUGUAGGCGGAUUGUUAAGUCAGGGGUGAAAUCCCGAGGCUCAACCUCGGAACUGCCUUUGAUACUGGCAAUCUCGAGUCCGGAAGAGGUGAGUGGAAUUCCUAGUGUAGAGGUGAAAUUCGUAGAUAUUAGGAAGAACACCAGUGGCGAAGGCGGCUCACUGGUCCGGUACUGACGCUGAGGUGCGAAAGCGUGGGGAGCAAACAGG
rnacentral:rRNA from 1 species